CGGGGUGUAGCUCAGCCUGGUAGAGCGCCAGCUUUGGGAGCUGGAAGUCGCGUGUUCGAAUCACGCCGCCCCGA
rnacentral:tRNA from 1 species